rnacentral:rRNA from 2 species
GCCGGCGGUGUGCCUAAUACAUGCAAGUCGAACGCGUUGGCCCAAUUGAUUGAUGGUGCUUGCACCUGAUUGAUUUUGGUCGCCAACGAGUGGCGGACGGGUGAGUAACACGUAGGUAACCUGCCCAGAAGCGGGGGACAACAUUUGGAAACAGAUGCUAAUACCGCAUAACAGCGUUGUUCGCAUGAACAACGCUUAAAAGAUGGCUUCUCGCUAUCACUUCUGGAUGGACCUGCGGUGCAUUAGCUUGUUGGUGGGGUAACGGCCUACCAAGGCGAUGAUGCAUAGCCGAGUUGAGAGACUGAUCGGCCACAAUGGGACUGAGACACGGCCCAUACUCCUACGGGAGGCAGCAGUAGGGAAUCUUCCACAAUGGGCGCAAGCCUGAUGGAGCAACACCGCGUGAGUGAAGAAGGGUUUCGGCUCGUAAAGCUCUGUUGUUAAAGAAGAACACGUAUGAGAGUAACUGUUCAUACGUUGACGGUAUUUAACCAGAAAGUCACGGCUAACUACGUGCCAGCAGCCGCGGUAAUACGUAGGUGGCAAGCGUUAUCCGGAUUUAUUG